rnacentral:rRNA from 1 species
CAGCAGCCGCGGGAAUACGAAGGGGGCUAGCGUUGCUCGGAAUUACUGGGCGUAAAGGGAGCGUAGGCGGAUCGUUAAGUUGGGGGUGAAAGCCCGGGGCUCAACCUCGGAAUUGCCUUCAAUACUGGCGAUCUUGAGUAUGGAAGAGGUAUGUGGAACUCCGAGUGUAGAGGUGAAAUUCGUAGAUAUUCGGAAGAACACCAGUGGCGAAGGCGGCAACCUGGUCCUUGACUGACGCUGAGGCGCGAAAGCGUGGGGAGCAAACAGGAUUAGAUACCCCCGUAGUCCCUGUCUCUUAUAC